rnacentral:rRNA from 1 species
UACGGAGGAGGCAAGCGUUAUCCGGAAUUAUUGGGCGUAAAGCGUCCGUAGGUGGUUUAGUAAGUCUGCUGUUAAAGCGCGGGGCUUAACUCCGUAUCGGCAGUGGAAACUACUAGACUAGAGUGUGGUAGGGGUAGAGGGAAUUCCCAGUGUAGCGGUGAAAUGCGUAGAUAUUGGGAAGAACACCGGUGGCGAAGGCGCUCUACUGGGCCUUAACUGACACUGAUGGACGAAAGCUAGGGGAGCGAAAGGG